rnacentral:rRNA from 1 species
CAGCCGCCGCGGGAAUACGAAGGGUGCAAGCGUUACUCGGAAUUUCUGGGCGUAAAGCGUGCGUAGGUGGUGGUUUAAGUCCGUUGUGAAAGCCCUGGGCUCAACCUGGGAAUUGCAGUGGAUACUGGGUCACUAGAGUGUGGUAGAGGAUAGUGGAAUUUCCGGUGUAGCAGUGAAAUGCGUAGAGAUCGGAAGGAACAUCUGUGGCGAAGGCGACUAUCUGGGCCAACACUGACACUGAGGCACGAAAGCGUGGGGAGCAAACAGGAUUAGAUACCCGUGUAGUCCCUGUCUCUUAUAC